rnacentral:rRNA from 1 species
AUUGAACGCUGGCGGCAGGCCUAACACAUGCAAGUCGAACGAGUGGCGGACGGGUGAGUAAUGUCUGGGAAACUGCCUGAUGGAGGGGGAUAACUACUGGAAACGGUAGCUAAUACCGCAUACCAUCGGAUGUGCCCAGAUGGGAUUAGCUAGUAGGUGGGGGAAAGGCUCACCUAGGCGACGAUCCCUAGCUGGUCUGAGCGGAUGACCAGCAAAACUGGAACUGAGACACGGUCCAGAAUCCUACGUGAGGCAGAAGUGGGGAAUAGUGCACAAUGGGCGAAAGACUGAUGCAGCCAUGCCGCGUGUAUGAAGAAGGCAUUAGGGUUGUAAAGUACUUUCAGCGGGGAGGCGUUACCCGCAGAAGAAGCACCGGCUAACUCCGUGCCAGCAGCCGCGGUAAUUC